GAUGAACGCUGGCGGCGUGCCUAAUACAUGCGAGUCGAGCGAACGGACGAGAAGCUUGCUUCUCUGAUGUUAGCGGCGGACGGGUGAGUAACACGUGGAUAACCUACCUAUAAGACUGGGAUAACUUCGGGAAACCGGAGCUAAUACCGGAUAAUAUUUUGAACCGCAUGGUUCAAAAGUGAAAGACGGUCUUGCUGUCACUUAUAGAUGGAUCCGCGCUGCAUUAGCUAGUUGGUAAGGUAACGGCUUACCAAGGCAACGAUGCAUAGCCGACCUGAGAGGGUGAUCGGCCACACUGGAACUGAGACACGGUCCAGACUCCUACGGGAGGCAGCAGUAGGGAAUCUUCCGCAAUGGGCGAAACCCUGACGGAGCAACGCCGCGUGAGUGAUGAAGGUCUUCGGAUCGUAAAACUCUGUUAUUAGGGAAGAACAUAUGUGUAAGUAACUGUGCACAUCUUGACGGUACCUAAUCAGAAAGCCACGGCUAACUACGUG
rnacentral:rRNA from 1 species